rnacentral:rRNA from 1 species
UACGGAGGGAGCUAGCGUUGUUCGGAAUUACUGGGCGUAAAGCGCGCGUAGGCGGCUUUGCAAGUUAGAGGUGAAAGCCCGGGGCUCAACCCCGGAACAGCCUUUAAGACUGCAUCGCUAGAAUCCGGGAGAGGUGAGUGGAAUUCCGAGUGUAGAGGUGAAAUCCGUAGAUAUUCGGAAGAACACCAGUGGCGAAGGCGGCUCACUGGACCGGUAUUGACGCUGAGGUGCGAAAGCGUGGGGAGCAAACAGG